GGCGAUCAGAUACCGCCCUAGUUCUGACCGUAAACGAUGCCAACUAGCGAUCCGCCAGUCGACUCAUCGCUCUGGUGGGGAGCUUCCCGGAAACGAAAGUCUUCCGGUUCCGGGGGAAGUAUGGUUGCAAAGCUGAAACUUAAAGGAAUUGACGGAAGGGCACCACCAGGAGUGGAGCCUGCGGCUUAAUUUGACUCAACACGGGGAAACUCACCCGGCCUGGACACCGUAAGGAUUGACAGAUUGAUAGCUUUUUCAUGAUUCGGUGGAUGGUGGUGCAUGGCCGUUCUUAGUUCGUGGAGCGAUUUGUCUGGUUUAUUCCGAUAACGAGCGAGACUCUGGCCUACUAAAUAGUUGGCACAUUGCCACUGUGUGCCCAACUUCUUAGAGGGAUUUUCGGUGUUCAGCCGCACGAAAUUGGGCAAUAACAGGUCUGUGAUGCCCUUAGAUGUCCGGGGCUGCACGCGCGCUACACUGGCAAAAUCAGCGUGCUUGUCCUCCCCCGAAAGGGGUUGGUAAACCGAUGAAAAUUUGCCGUGAUUGGGAUCGGACAUUGCAAUUAUUGUCCGUGAACGAGGAAUCCCUUGUAAGGGCGAGUCAUCAACUCGUCCUGAAUACGUCCCUGCCCUUGUA
rnacentral:rRNA from 1 species